AAAGGACAAAAGGGCAAGCUAGGAACUGCUGGAUUUUGGAGACUGAAGAAUCAAUGAAGACAAAAAAACAGCAGGUGUUCAGGGACAAAAUUGAACGCCAACGAGCAAUAAGGGCCAACUUCUCCAUAAGGGAUAGGAGCCAUGUCAGAUGAUCUCCCAGCAGGGCAUGAGACCAGUCCCUACAGGGUCCCAUGAGUUCUUUCCUUCCAUAUGUGAAGCCAAGACAUUAGUGCCACGCAGCGUAUGAAUGGAUCUACCACUUCCUGCCUCAUAUUACUGCCA